AUGCCCAAUGCCACCGGAACGCUCUGCCCACUCGGUGGCCCCACCCAUCGCCGCCCCGCCCCCGCUUCAACCACCAAUGGUCGCCGCCCGCUGCUCCCGAGGGGCUCGUUGAUUGGACAGUGGAGCCUGCCACUCUCGCGGGGCCUCCCGCCCUCCCUCACUCCCCGCUGGGGCUGGAGGGGCUGGAGCAUCAGCGCGAGUAGCUCGGAGCAGCCGCGGCAGCGGCGGCGCGUCGUUGCAGUUGCGCCAUCUGUCAGGAGCGGAGCCGGCGGGGAGGGGGCUGCCGCGGGAGAGGAGGAGGGGUCGCCGCGAGCCGAAGGCCGCCGAGACCCGCCCGCCAACCGGCCGAGGGAGCAGAAGAGAGGCUGCCCUCGGAGCCGCGCGUCCAUCACCGCCCGGGCGCGCGGCGCUUCACCCCGCGCACCGAGGGCUCCCCAGGCGCACACAAAGCCGCCGCCCGCGCCUGGGAGGGAUCCAGUCGCCGGGCCGGGGACACCCGGCGCCGCCCCCUGGGCACUCUCAGAAGGCCCACCGGCUCCCGGGCCCGCCGAGCAACCACCGGAGCCGCUUCGGCCGCGCCGGAGGAGGCGGGGAGUGGACCAUGUGAAUGGGCUCCGGAGCCUGAGCGCAGCGCAGGACCAGUCCAGCAGCUGUAUUAGAAGACAUGUGGUAUAUAUAAAGUUUGUGAUCGUUGGGGGAAAUUUUGUGGUAACAAGAACCUUGUGA
rnacentral:lncRNA from 1 species